rnacentral:lncRNA from 1 species
UCGAAUUAGAAUUUAGUUUCCAAAGUCAGGUCUUCUUCAGUUUCCUUUUCCAGUUCGGAAUCUGUCCAUACUCAGCUUCCAUAUCGAUCUCUGACUUAGAUUCCAUAUUAGAUUAUGCUUCCUUAUUCAUCAGCUUCAACUUCCUUCUUUGAUGUAACUCCAUCUCCAAAUCAUGUUAGGAAUUGAAUUCUCAAGGUCCAAUGUUACCAAUCCUUCUUCGACUCAGAAUCCAAAAGUCAAUUCACACAAAUCGUAGAGUGUGACUCUUCUCUCGGAAUCGUAGAGUGAACCUCGUCAGUCAAAGAGUGUCUUAGCUGCUGAGCUAAAAACGUAGAGUAGAAUUUCCAAUCAUAGAGUCCAAUGUCGUAGAGCAUGCAAAUCGUCGAACAUAAAGUCUGGUCGUAGAGCAAAUUUCGGCAAUCAUAAAGUGAAGCUGGGAAUCGUCGAGUAAAGCUUACUACGAUAGUAGAGCUGCCAGACUGCACUCCAACAUUAUGAACAUAAAGCUCUCACUCAACGAUCAUAGAGUACUCCUGAAAAACAACUAAAAACUGGCAUUAAACUCCAUAUUUGCAUAAUCAUACUAAAUUCUUCUAUAAAUCAAUAAACACCUUAAAUCAACUUGUAUAACAGAAAACAUGCAGCAAAACUAAACAUAAAGGAACCAAAUUCAUCCAACAUUUUAUACUUAUCAACCUAAAAGGCAUGUGAAGACAAACGAUCUUGUGCAACAAAGAGAAUUUGGUAACCAAAAUAUUUCAUCAUGAAAACAGUAGGAAGCAUGGCCACCUAAUCUUUCCAAUUGUGUCUAUGAAUGGCAGGAUAAUAACCUUUUAUUGAGCCAGAAUCUAAUUUCAUAUAAUCUAUCCAAAUUUGUCAAUCAUAUUUGUCACUAGUUCAUUUUCAUGAUCUUGAUCAUUGCUAUCCAAAACUACUUAGGAACCACCUGAAUUGGAUGUACCCUUAUGUUAUUUGAAUGCAAGAUAUGGUCUCACUAUUUAGACACUUAAGACCAGGGGCGGAUGUACUAGCAGAGCAGCAUAGGCAGUUGCCUAUGUUGACUUUUUUUUUUCUUCUAAGUAUUGGGGCAGGGACAUAAUUAUAUAUGUUAAUAAACUCAAGGGGGAAGAUUAAUGAAAGAGUUAAACUUGGUGGGGCAAAAGAACUAUAUUCUAAUUCUAAAAAAUACAGACUAGUCAAGAGCAUACUUCAACUCGUUCUUGUGCUUGGCUGAAAGCUUGAAACAAAUGCUCAUUCCACUUACUCAUUCCAGUUCCAUUUAUUACCUUGAUUUCUCUUCUUCUUUAAAUUUUUCUUCAUCCGAAACCAUGAAGCAGGCGAAAAAGACCCGCGACCGCCAAUUAUCCCUCCAAUACUUGCCAUUCUCUUUCCAAAUAUCUCCAAACUCUAUUAUGAUCUACUAUUAUUUAUAUCAGAAAUGAAGAUGUAUUAACUUUCAAAGGAAUUGGGUGGUUGUUACGGCAAAUUGAAUACUGAAUUUUAAAAAGUAGGGUUGUUAUGAAAAUAAAAAUACAGAUUGAUAUAUGGAGAGAGAGAAAGUAAAGGCAAGUCCCUUAUCUGGUGGCCAUGAAAUGAUGAUGUGUAUGUAGC